rnacentral:rRNA from 1 species
UACGAAGGGUGCAAGCGUUAAUCGGAAUUAUUGGGCGUAAAGGGCGCGUAGGCGGUUUGUUACGUCUGUUGUGAAAUCCCCGGGCUCAACCUGGGAAUGGCAAUGGAUACUGGCAAGCUAGAGUGUGUCAGAGGAUGGUGGAAUUUCCGGUGUAGCGGUGAAAUGCGUAGAGAUCGGGAGGAACAUCAGUGGCGAAGGCGGGCAUCUGGGACAACACUGACGCUGAGGCGCGAAAGCGAGGGGAGCAAACAGG